CCCUCAACAUGGAUUUAUAAAGAGAGUGAGAGGGACCGGGGGUGUCAGCCUAUUCCCCCCUCCUCUUUGCAUGCAUCCCGGUCUGCACAACUCGGAGAGCGAGAGAGAGCGAUAGUGUGUGUGUGCGCUCGGGGAGAGAGAGAGGGAGAAAGUGAGAGCCAGCGAGGGAGGGAGAAAAUGAAAUGUAAGACAGAUACGAAGGGGUGUGGAGAGAGGGCGAGAGGCUGUAACGCGGCACAUUGAUGCAUUCGCUGCGUCCUAGCCGUGCUCUUGCCGCGGGACGCCGUAGAGCUGCCUGUUUUCUUUCAUGCAGCCGGACCUGGAAUAGGGAUAUAUGCGUAAAGGGACCUGAACGGAGCCGGACGAGUUAGGCAGGCUGCGAGAGAGCCGUGAUCGGCUACAUCAUCAUCCUCGGUCGAGCCAGGUACAUAACAAAUCAUCAAAGCCAGGAUUAAAAUUCGUGAAGGAGCAGCUUUGACUUCUGGAUGACUUAAGCGUAUUAGCUUUAAAACCAAGAUGAGGAGUUUCAAGUGAUGUAUGGCAGACUUCAAAGAUGUUUUAAUCUGUCGGUAGGCAGAUGCUUUUACUUGGGCUAUUUGUAUCAGGACGCAGUGUUUUUACAUUCUGAUCGAUAGUUUCUCCAGCUCACACCAACCUGAUGUUAUGUCUUGUUAAACAGCUGUCGUUAAACAGCUGUUCUUCCCCUGUAUUUUAAUCGGUUUAUUUUAAGGUCUUCGGCGGAACAACAUGCUGGAUUUAAAUCCUUUGUUUUAAUAAAUACGUAUGGUUUAAAGGAUGUAAUUGCACUCCACUUUACUCCGCUGUGGUGCACCUGUGUGAAUAUAAAUAUAAAGAUGACAUUGGGACCAAGUAAUUGCAAAAUUGCUCAGAAAAUAAAUUGGAGAUGCUAAAAAUGCCCUGUAAAAAUAGUCUCCCCAUAAAAAUAAUAAAGUAAAAUGUUUUCGUAGGAACAGUGAUUUUUAUUUAUUUAUUUAUUUUGUGUAUAAUGAAUGAGAUUAUUCAUCAACAUGUUUAACAGAAUAUUCAGUUGACUGGACUAUGUGUUUGUCUAAACAGUUUUAUAUUAAACAAGGGUUUAAAAGUUCCCGGCAUGCAUUUUUAGCAAGUUAACUGGUGAUGUGGUUAAUAUUAAUAAACAGAAUUACUGUUUAACCGUUUGCUGACUUUAUUUAUGCUGUUGUUGUUGUCUCUGUUAGUUUUCUUUUGUUUUCAAAAAUUAUAUUUAAAUGGAUGAUAUGAUAUAUCUAAACUAUGCCCAUAGGGACAAAAAAGGACAAGCCCAGCACGUUGGGUUGUAAUUUAACCUAUGCUAGGUUUUUUCAACCCAAAUUGCUGGGUUGUUUUAACCCAUUAUUGUGUCAAAUAUAAACAUUUUCUGCAUUAA